AACGUAGGAGACAAACGUUAUCCGGAGUUACUGGGCGUAAAGGGCGUGUAGGCGGUUAGUUAAGUCUGGCGUGAAAGCUCUCGGCUAAACCGGGAGAGGUCGUUGGAUACUGGCUGACUAGAGGACGGUAGAGGCGUGUGGAAUUCCGGGUGUAGUGGUGAAAUGCGUAGAGAUCCGGAGGAACACCAGUGGCGAAGGCGCCUUUCCAGUGACAACAGACGCUAAGGUACGGAAGCUUAGGUAGCAAACGGG
rnacentral:rRNA from 1 species